UAUUGCACAAUGGGCGCAAGCUUGAUGCAGCCAUGCCGCGUGUAUGAAGAAGGCCUUCGGGUUGUAAAGUACUUUCAGUCGUGAGGAAGGGGUGUACGUUAAUAGCGUGCAUCUUUGACGUUAGCGACAGAAGAAGCACCGGCUAACUCCGUGCCAGCAGCCGCGGUAAUACGGAGGGUGCGAGCGUUAAUCGGAAUUACUGGGCGUAAAGCGCAUGCAGGUGGUUCGUUAAGUCAGAUGUGAAAGCCCGGGGCUCAACCUCGGAACUGCAUUUGAAACUGGCGGACUAGAGUACUGUAGAGGGGGGUAGAAUUUCAGGUGUAGCGGUGAAAUGCGUAGAGAUCUGAAGGAAUACCAGUGGCGAAGGCGGCCCCCUGGACAGAUACUGACACUCAGAUGCGAAAGCGUGGGGAGCAAACAGGAUUAGAUACCCUGGUAGUCCACGCCGUAAACGAUGUCUACUUGGAGGUUGUGGCCUUGAGCCGUGGCUUUCGGAGCUAACGCGUUAAGUAGACCGCCUGGGGAGUACGGUCGCAAGAUUAAAACUCAAAUGAAUUGACGGGGGCCCGCACAAGCGGUGGAGCAUGUGGUUUAAUUCGAUGCAACGCGAAGAACCUUACCUACUCUUGACAUCCAGAGAACUUAGCAGAGAU
rnacentral:rRNA from 1 species